AUACGGAGGACGCGAGCGUUAUCCGGAUUCAUUGGGUUUAAAGGGUGCGCAGGCGGCCGUGCAAGUCAGCGGUGAAAGCCCGGGGCUCAACCCCGGAAGUGCCGUUGAUACUGCGUGGCUGGAAUGCGGUCGAGGCGGGCGGGACGGGGCGGGUAGCGGUGAAAUGCGUAGAUAUGCCACAGAACGCCGAUAGCGGAGGCGGCGCGCCAGGCCUGCAUUGACGCGCGGGCACGAAAGCGUGGGGAGCGAACAGGAUUAGAUACCCUGGUAGUCCACGCCGUAAACGAUGGGCGCUCGUCGUCGGCGACAGACAGUCGGCGGCCAAGCGAAAGCGAUAAGCGCCCCACCUGGGGAGUACGGUCGCAAGGCUGAAACUCAAAUGAAUUGACGGGG
rnacentral:rRNA from 1 species